GGGGGAGUAGCUCAGCGGUGAGAGCAGCGGUCUUAUACACCGCCGGUCCCUGGUUCGAAUCCAGGCUCCCCUACCA
rnacentral:tRNA from 1 species